UUAGCAUCUAUAAUUAUAGCCACAGAUAGAUAAGAUUACACCUACAUUGGAGUAAGGAAGGAUUAGUUAAAUGUUAGCUAAACACCAAACGUUCUAUACAUGAACUCAUUAGAGUAUGGAAGGUUUACUUAAAUGUUACCGAAAUACUUUCUGCAGUGUUUCUAACAUUUAACUUAAGUAAUCUUUCCAUACUCCAAUGUAGUAUAAUAAAUAUAGACUGAAAGAGAAAAGGGAGGGCAUUCGAUAUCAAUGAGUUCAUUUAUACAAAUCUGCAGAAAAUAUCUCAGAAGUGACAUUGAUUUUGCUAUUAUUGGGAAAAAGUAGAUAUUAGGCUUGUAAAGAAUUUACAUAGACAUUUUUCACCUUACAAGCUGGUUGUGUUAGAUCUAAUAUAAAAAUCUAAUAGCUAUUAAAAUUUGAAGAUAAUAUAAUGUAUUGUUGAGAAAGCAAGCAAAAUAGCCAUAUGGCAGAACUGAACAAAUAGGCAGGGAGGAAGGGUCAAAAGAAAACUUACCUUGGUUAUUGACGAUGUCAAAGGUCCAAGUUGAAUACGGAAACAAAUCAUCCUCAUAUCUCAUUUUCAUGUUCAGAGGUGUUUGAGAUGAUUCUCCUGGAAAUAAUUUGCCAUGUACAUUAGCUAAAGUUUCAAUCGCAUAAUUUAUUCUGGUGUUUAGGAGCGAUUGAGAUGUUUCUCCUGGAAUGAAAUUGCUAUAUACAUUAUCCGAAGUUUGAUCCCAAGACGGAAGCAUGACAGGCGCCAUAAAACCAAAACGGUUUAGAAGCAUGACUGG
rnacentral:lncRNA from 1 species